GAAGAAGAAGAAAAAGAUGCCCAUGUGGUGUUCUGUGCUAAAAUGUGUUAUCUUUCACCGUUCUACCUACCAGUGAUUCACCCCUAUUCUGAGUUGUGGCUAUCAAGAAUGAUAUGGUGUUCAAAGAUUAUCAGAGGGAUUUUCAGGCAGAACUGAUGGGGAAUCCAUUUUGUCGACAGCAGAGUUUUCGUCGACAUUGCUAGUUUUUUCCUUCACAACAAAAUGGAAGAUUCUCAAUUCAAGAUGAACGUGGUACCUUCAGGCGUUUGGAAAUUGCUCCCAAGGAUGAACCAGUUUACCAGUCUACAAUUUUUUCUGAGGUCUUGGCUGAUUUCUUUUGAUUUUCCCAUGAUGUCAAGCAAAGAGGCACAGAGUUUGAAGGUAGGCCUUCAAAUACAUCCACAGGUACACCUCCAAUUAACUCAAAUUAUGUGAAUUAGCCAAUCAGAAGCUUCUAAAGCCAUGACAGCAUCUGGAAUUUUCCAAGCUGUUUAAAGGCAC
ensembl:lncRNA